GGAAAAGACAAAAACAAAAUAAUAUCAAUGAAUGACUGUACUGUUGUUUCUCAUUCAAUGAUGUAUUUCAUGACGUUCAUUCUUUCUCUUCGUUUUUUCUUCUUUCUAUUUUUCCUGAUUUUUCCAUAUUUUUUUGCUUCAAAUGAAAGAUUCAUCACAGAGCUGGUUGGUUUGUUCAAGGCUUACACGAAUCUCCCUGUGGAGAAAAUGGUUUCAGAAGCCAGACCGCUGAAGAAGUAGCUUAAAGGCCUCAGUCUCCAUUCACUUCCAUUGUUUGGAGAAGAACACUUUAUUAUUCAAAGCAUCUUCCACAGAAGAAAGCAAGUCAUACAUGUUUGGAACGACAUGAGGGUAAACAUCCAAAGUGAACAUACUGAAUGAAGGUAAAUUUUACGCUGAAGUAAGAGAAGUCGCACAGAUUUGUAAGUUUGUAUGCGUUUUUAUUUCAAUCAUUUGCUUCACUUACAGCAGUGAGGAUCAGACUAAAUUCACAUUUAUUCUUUUAUCAGAUGCUUUUGUCCACCAAAGUGAGAAGAAUAAUACAAACCGAAACAAUUAAUCUAAGGAAGUAGAAGACUGAAGUAAUAUGCAGCCAACUUACAAAUACUUUACUUUUAUUUACUCUCCAAAGCCAAUUCUUAUUUUAUUUGGCAUUGGUUGAGUGUUCAUUUUGGACCCUUCCAGUAUAUAGAGUCAGGUGCUUUACGCUGGUGGUCCCACGUCCCACAGUGCAGGUGCCUUUCAGCACAAACACACACUGCAGCUGCUCACAGGAAUACGGAGGUUCCUCUUUCCUCUGGUUCAGUCACUCACACACAUCUGUUUGCUUUGCACAUUUCUUCCACACCCUCACUUGUUUUUAUUCUCUCUUACACACCCUGUUUAUCACAAUCUCCUCCAGUGCCUCUGCAUCAAUAUAUGGGUGUGUGUGUGUGUGUGUGUGUGUGUGUUCAACCCCAGGUUUUUCCAGGGUUGUAGUAGCAGCAGUUGCAUUGUGGGAUUGCGUGCCCUUGCCAUUGGGUCUUUACUGUGGUCAGGGAAGGUUCUGAGGGAUUCUUGUGGUCCUGAUCCAGUGAAAGACUCCAGCCGGAGCAGAUGUGUGAUGGAAAAACAGCAGAACACAAACACAGCAAACUAUGACCCAGAUCAACAAACAGAGCUACAAUGACGUUUGUACGGUUUGAAAUGAUAAAACAAUAGAUCUAGUGGAGAAAAUGAAGGAAAUUAUUUGAGUCUUAGAAGUAUUAAUGGAACAUGCACUGAAAAAAAAUGGGUGUAGAAGCAAUUGCUGGUAAAUUUCACGAAUAUUUACCAGGAAAUAGAAGGUAAAACAUUGAAUUAAAUGUGACAUUUUGGAAGUAAAAGAAAAUCAUUUUUAAUGAUGAACUACAUAGCUAAAGUUUUAGUUUAAUUAACAAGUUCAGUUCUAUAUGUCAUGCUGAAUUUUACAUAAAUCACUAGCAAAUGCUAUUUAUCAUGUGAAAACAGUUUUAUUAUUUUUUUAACCCAAUGUUGCCCAAACUGUGAGGAAACUUCAGGGGGUUUGAGAGCUGAUAAAAGGCUAUUCAUUAAAUAAAUCAAUAAUAAUUACAUUAAACUGAUUUAAAAUUAGUUAAAAUAUAAUGUUUUUAAAAUAAAAAUGAUCAAAGUAAAACAUUUAAAAAAGAUUAAAUAUUUUAAUUGUUUACCUGCUUGUCAUGUGACCAUGAACCGAUAUCAGAGAACCAUGACCAUGCAAGCGUGUUGUUAAAUUAUUGAAAUAUUAAUUUAAAAUCUCAGGUGGACCUCAAGGGGUUUGGAUAACAAAAAAGUUUGCGAAUUGAUGUUUCAACCAGUCAUGGCACCAGUCACCAGUCUGUUCUUCACACAAAUCUCUCACAUUAUUUCUGAAGACUUUGAAUAUAGCACACAAAUCAUAUGGACCACUGUUGCUAUUAUUAUACUUCUGUGGUGCUUAUGUCCAUUUUGGAGCUCAACACCAUCUGUAUUCAUUUUCAUUGUAUGGAAAAUUGUGCUGAACAUCUGUUGUUUUCACAGGAGAAGGAAAAUCAUACAGUUUAAUACACUGAACAAAGGACGUCUCUUCACCAUGAUGCUCGUGCUCUGGGAAAGCUAGAGACCAGAACACUGUGAAACUGUGAAACUCACACAUCUGACAAUAUGAGGCUUCAACCGAUGUGCCCUCUUAAUAGAGACGCCGUCUCACCCUCCUAACCUUCAGACAGCUGCGUAACAUGGCAUGAAAUCUCCUUCAUGGGAGAACUCCACAUGGACCCUCCAUCCAGACAACAUCUAAUUAUCCCAGCCGGAUCUGAGCGAGUUACGGCGGCCCGGCCGCUCCCGCUGAAGGCUCGUGUCGAACAGGUCAGAAUCCACUGCAGUUUCCCCGAGGGAAGAAUAAGACAACAGCUCUCGUUAUUCGAGCGGCUGUAAAUUGUGCUGUUGAACCUCCUGAUGUGAAGCUACUGCCUCCGUUAAAUCACAUCAGAACUGUAGCUGACUUCAGUGAAGACCAUCACUGCACCAAAACAAGGGUUUCUUUGCAAGAUAGAAAUGGGUUAAAAAGAAAAUCUUAAAGUCGC